rnacentral:misc_RNA from 1 species
GAUGAAGAACGUAGCGAAAUGCGAUAAGUAAUGUGAAUUGCAGAGUUCAGUGAAUCAUCGAAUCUUUGAACGCACAUUGCGCCCGCCAGUAUUCUGGCGGGCAUGCCUGUUCGAGCGUCAUUUCAACCCUCAAGACCCCUUCGGGGGACUUGGUGUUGGGGACCGGCACAGGGGCCUGCCUGCUUGUCUUGCAGCGCCCUCGCCGCCCCCGAAAUGAAUUGGCGGCCUCGUCGCGGCCUCCCCUGCGUAGUAGCACAACCUCGCAACGGGAACGUGACGGCGGCCACUGCCGUAAAACAACCCCAAUUUUAUUAGAGUUGACCUCGAAUCAGGUAGGAAUACCCGCUGAACUUAAGCAUAUCAAUAAGCGGAGGA